rnacentral:piRNA from 1 species
UCCUCAAAAAACAACACCAGCUUAUUUAGG